UGCGAGCAGCCGGGAGCUGCGCUUGUGCGCUCGGUGGGGCCUGAGGGGGCGCAGACCCGGGGUGGCCCGACUGUGGGGGAGGAAAGAGAACGGGGCGCUGCGCGUGCCGGGUUUGCGGGUGGGAGAGGGACCAGUGCUAGGAGGUGAGCCCUCAGGUGUGUAUCCGAGGGGGGAUCCUGCACGUGUGCCUGCCAGGGCAGGGUGUGACUCCACCUGCCGGUGCAGGUGUGAGCUCAGGUGUGUGCUUGUGUCCUGUAACCCUUGCCGUCACUCCUUACUCGCCUCUUUCCCGGACCCUGGCAGCCAUUAACCUCCUCUCUGUCUCUGUUCUGGACAUUUCCCUAUAAAUGCGGUCGUAGGAUACGUGCUCUUUUGUGUCUGGCUUUUCCAGCCGAGCAUCAUGUUUGCCAUCCAUCUGUGCGGUGUGUCAGUUUGUUUUGUAGCCGAGUAACAGUCCAUUCUAUGGACAUACCACAGUUGGAUUACCCAAGUGUUGCUUUGUGAACGUGUUUUCAGUUCGGGGGAUUGAGGAGAUGGUCUGUCCCGGGGUGGCCUGUGUGUGUGGCUGUGGCCUCAGCCACUGCCCACUGCCUGUGCUCAUUUACCAGAAUCCCAGCCCUGGGCGCACGGUCCAAGCCAGGAGCUUGGAGCCCCACUGCUAUGUGGGGAGUAGACUCGGGAAAAGGAAUCCAUCCCUUCAUGUGCCAUCUGCAACCUGGGCCCUCGACUGAGACCAUAACCCGCAUCUACUGAGGCCAAGCAGCCCGGAGGCAGAGCCCAGUGGCAGGUGAUGGAGCCCGAGGCCCAGUGAGGCAGAGGGCAGGGCGGUGGUCACAGGGCCGGACGUUUUUAGAAACCGAAUCUCCCUCAAAACAUGCCCUGCUCCUGCUGCCUUCACUUUGCUGCCCUGGCCUCCACCUCCUCACAGGUCUCUGCCUCGCUUUGCCCCUCCCCUCAUCUCCACAUAACACUGAGGGGUCUUGAAACCUGAACGAUGAGGCCAUCCCUCCCCUUAAACCGCCCAAGUCACUGCGCAGGUCAUCAGAGCAGGGUCAGGAGACUCUCCCUGCAACCCAGGUAGGAAAUGUUUUCAGCUUCGCAGUCCAAGGAGCAAACCAAGGAUGGCAUGUGGGUUCUUUCCUCGUGAGAGAAAACAUACAUCCUUUAGGUUUUUUCCUGAGGCAAUCUAAAACUUUGUUGAGGGAUGCUGAAAUCUGAAUUUCAUGUACCAUUUGUCUUCUGUUCAUCCCCCCCUCCACCCAAUCACUUAAAAUGUAAAAACUAUUCUUAGAUCACAGACUGUACAAAAACUGGCAUUGGGGCCAAGUUUGCUGACCCCCCAUUUGUAACAAAUUCACCUUCCUUUCCACGCCUCCUGACUCCUGCGUGACCUAACUUCUGCUCGUGUCACAGGCCUCCCCGUGGCUCCCUCCUUGCCCAUCAUGCACCUCCUCCACCUCGCCGGCCCCUCAACAGCGCAUAAGCUGAGCUACUCAGAGCCCUUCCCUGGCCGCCCACACCUCGAGAUGCAUUUUGCCCCGCACCACGUUUGAAUGCUUUGCACGUGUUCCCAUUCACCACAGACUGGAAACUUCACGAUGCGACGCCUGGUCUGUGGAGUGUUUGUUAAAGGAAUGAACAAGCAGCCUUCCACCAGAGUCCCCGUCACGAGGGAUCCUGCCAUGGACUGCAGCUGCCGCCAUCCAUAAGCCUACGAGCAAGGAGCUGAGACCUGAGACCGUUACACAGCAUAUCACUCGCUUUGGGUGAAGAUCAAGAAUGGGCACAAUUCACGUGUUGGUCAGAAAUCCUAGCAGCAGCCGCGUCCGGGCCGGCGCGCUGGACGGGACCUGUCCGUGGUCCUGAAGCGCCCUGGAGCCGAGCUUUCCCACGGUGCCUAGGUGCCUACGAGCCAUGUGCACAUGGUGAAAUGCGAAUUCAAUAAAUAGUCACAAAUCCA